AGCUGAGAGGUUUUCCUGCAGGUUGUGGUCCUAAACACCAAAAUAACAUCCACAUUGUAAACCACCCCGACGUAGAGUGAACACAGAGGUUAGCAGUGGGGCAGACGUAGACCAGAGGUAGAAAGAUGUAGACCAGAGGUAGACCAGAGGUAGACCAGAGGUAGACAGAGGUAGACAGAGGUAGACCAGAGGUAGACAGAGGUAGACUAGAGGUAGACCAGAAGUAGACAGAGGUAGACAGAGGUAGACCAGAGGUAGACCAGAGGUAGACAGAGGUAGACAGAGAUACAACAGAUGUAGACCAGAGGUAGACCAGAGGUAGACAGAGGUACAACAGAGGUAGAACAGAUGUAGACAGAGGUAGACCAGAGGUAGACCAGAGAUAGACCAGAGGUAGACAGAGGUACAACAGAGGUAGAACAGAUGUAGACAGAGGUAGACCAGAGGUAGACCAGAGAUAGACCAGAGGUAGACAGAGGUAGACUAGAGGUAGACCAGAAGUAGACAGAGGUAGACAGAGGUAGACCAGAGGUAGACCAGAGGUAGACAGAGGUAGACAGAGAUACAACAGAUGUAGACCAGAGGUAGACCAGAGGUAGACAGAGGUACAACAGAGGUAGAACAGAUGUAGACAGAGGUAGACCAGAGGUAGACCAGAGAUAGACCAGAGGUAGACAGAGGUAGACUAGAGGUAGACCAGAAGUAGACAGAGGUAGACAGAGAUACAACAGAUGUAGACCAGAGGUAGACCAGAGGUAGACCAGAGGUAGACAGAGGUACAACAGAGGUAGAACAGAUGUAGACAGAGGUAGACCAGAGGUAGACCAGAGAUAGACCAGAGGUAGACAGAGGUACAACAGAGGUAGAACAGAUGUAGACAGAGGUAGACCAGAGGUAGACCAGAGAUAGACCAGAGGUAGACAGAGGUAGACCAGAGAUAGACCAGAGGUAGACAGAGGUAGACCAGAGGUAGACCAGAGGUA